rnacentral:rRNA from 1 species
UCCGCGCAUGCGGUGGUGGUGGAAAGCUUUUGCGGUUUUGGGAUGGACUCGGCGGCGUAUCAGCUUGUUGGUGGGGUAAUGGCCUACCAAGGCGGACGACGGGUAGCCGGCCUGAGAGGGUGACCGGCCACACUGGGACUGAGACACGGCCCAGACUCCUACGGGAGGCAGCAGUGGGGAAUAUUGCACAAUGGGCGCAAGCCUGAUGCAGCGACGCCGCGUGAGGGAUGACGGCCUUCGGGUUGUAAACCUCUUUCAGUAGGGAAGAAGCGUAAGUGACGGUACCUGCAGAAGAAGCGCCGGCUAACUACGUGCCAGCAGCCGCGGUAAUA